GGUCGUAGGACAUGGCCGCCAGGAGGUAGCUCUCGGUGAUGCCCAGAGCCACGAAGAAGUACAUCUCGGCAAAGCACGCCUGGAAGGAUAUGGCCUGGCCCGGGUGGAGCAGGCCGGCCAGCAGCCUGGGGACCGUGACGGUGGUAAAGCAGACGUCCACGAGGCUCAGACAUGCCACAAAAUGUUGAAUGAAGAUAGGCAGCGUUGGCAAGGAGAGUUUCUGAAACUUCCACUGGAGGGCUCUGCGUGUUCCGGCAGGAAUGGUAUUCUGACCUUUUCAGCUAGCAGAGGAUGAGGAGGACAAGGUGGUGGU
rnacentral:lncRNA from 1 species